rnacentral:rRNA from 1 species
AUUGAACGCUGGCGGCAUGCCUUACACAUGCAAGUCGAGCGGUAACAGGUCUUCGGAUGCUGACGAGUGGCGAACGGGUGAGUAAUACAUCGGAACGUGCCUAGUAGUGGGGAUAACUACUCGAAAGAGUGGCUAAUACCGCAUGAGAUCUACGGAUGAAAGCAGGGGAUCGCAAGACCUUGUGCUACUAGAGCGGCCGAUGGCAGAUUAGGUAGUUGGUGGGAUAAAAGCUUACCAAGCCGACGAUCUGUAGCUGGUCUGAGAGGACGAUCAGCCACACUGGGACUGAGACACGGCCCAGACUCCUACGGGAGGCAGCAGUGGGGAAUUUUGGACAAUGGGCGAAAGCCUGAUCCAGCAAUGCCGCGUGCAGGAUGAAGGCCUUCGGGUUGUAAACUGCUUUUGUACGGAACGAAAAGCCCCGGGUUAAUACCCUGGGGUCAUGACGGUACCGUAAGAAUAAGCACCGGCUAACUACGUGCCAGCCGCCGCAGUAA